GACGAACGCUGGCGGCGUGCUUAACACAUGCAAGUCGAACGGAAAGGCCCUGCUUUUGUGGGGUGCUCGAGUGGCGAACGGGUGAGUAACACGUGAGUAACCUGCCCUUGACUUUGGGAUAAAUUCAGGAAACUGGGGCUAAUACCGGGUAGGAGCUCCUGCUGCAUGGUGUGGGUUGGAAAGUUUCGGCGGUUGGGGAUGGACUCGCGGCUUAUCAGCUUGUUGGUGGGGUAGUGGCUUACCAAGGCUUUGACGGGUAGCCGGCCUGAGAGGGUGACCGGGCACAUUGGUACUGAGAUACGGCGCAGAAGCCUACGGGAGGCAGCAGGGGGGAAUAUUGCACAAUGGGCGGAAGCCUGAGGCAGCAACGCCGCGUGCGGGAUGACGGCCUUCGGGGUGUAAACCGCUGUCGCCUGAGACGAAGCGUGAGUGACGGUAAUGGGUAAAGAAGCACCGGCUAACUACGUG
rnacentral:rRNA from 1 species